rnacentral:rRNA from 1 species
UAUNGCACAAUGGGGGGAACCCUGAUGCAGCNACGCCGCGUGGGUGAAGGAGCGUUUCGGCGCGUAAAGCCCUAUCGGCAGGGAAGAAGGAGGACGGUACCUGACUAAGAAGCCCCGGCUAACUACGUGCCAGCAGCCGCGGUAAUACGUAUGGUGCAAGCGUUAUCCGGAUUUACUGGGUGUAAAGGGAGCGCAGGCGGCACGGCAAGCCUGAUGUGAAAGCCCGCGGCCCAACCGCGGGACUGCAUUGGGAACUACCGGGCUGGAGUGCCGGAGAGGUAGGCGGAAUUCCUAGUGUAGCGGUGAAAUGCGUAGAUAUUAGGAGGAACACCAGUGGCGAAGGCGGCCUACUGGACGGUGACUGACGCUGAGGCUCGAAAGCGUGGGGAGCAAACAG